UACGUGAGGGGCGAACGUUGUUCGGUGUCACUGGGCUUAAAGGGUGCGUAGGUGGUUUCGUAAGUAAGGUGUGAAAGCCCUCGGCUUACCCGGGGAAUUGCGCCUUAUACUGCGAGACUUGAGGAUUUCAGGGGAAUGGGGAACUCCAGGUGUAGCGGUGAAAUGCGCGAGACUAUCUGGGGGAAGGCCGGGCGGGCGAAGGCGCCAUUCUGGGAAAUUCCUGACACUGAGGCACGAAAGCGUGGGGAGCAAACAGG
rnacentral:rRNA from 1 species